rnacentral:rRNA from 1 species
UACGUAGGGUGCGAGCGUUAAUCGGAAUUACUGGGCGUAAAGUGUGCGCAGGCCGCCGAGCAAGUCGAGUGUGAAAUCCCUCGGCCUAACCGGGGAACUGCGUCUGAAACUGUUCGGCUCGAGUCCGGGAGAGGGUAGUGGAAUUCCCAGUGUAGCGGUGAAAUGCGUAGAUAUUGGGAGGAACACCGGUGGCGAAGGCGGCUACCUGGACCGGUACUGACGCUGAUGUGCGAAAGCCAGGGUAGCAAACGGG